rnacentral:miRNA from 1 species
UGUGUGUGAUCGUUAAUGUGC